AUUCUUACCUGGCAGGGAAAAUACCAUGAUCAUUAAGAUGGCUUUCCCACGGCAAGACUUAUCCACUACACUUAGGAUGUGCUGAUCCCUACAGCUUCUCUAAAUGUGGAAAAUUUAACUGCAUAAUUUGUGGUAGUAGAGAACUGCAUUUGUACUCUUCCCUG